GACGAACGCUGGCGGCGUGCUUAACACGUGCAAGUCGAACGGUAAGGCCCUUCGGGGUACACGAGUGGCGAACGGGUGAGUAACACGUGGGUGAUCUGCCCUGCACUUCGGGAUAAGCCUGGGAAACUGGGUCUAAUACCGGAUAGGACCCUGGGAUGCAUGUCCUGGGGUGGAAAGCUUUUGCGGUGUGGGAUGGGCCCGCGGCCGAUCAGCUUGUUGGUGGGGUGAUGGCCUACCAAGGCGACGACGGGUAGCCGGCCUGAGAGGGUGACCGGCCACACUGGGACUGAGAUACGGCCCAGACUCCUACGGGAGGCAGCAGUGGGGAAUAUUGCACAAUGGGCGCAAGCCUGAUGCAGCGACACCGCGUGAGGGAUGACGGCCUUCGGGUUGUAAACCUAUUUCAGCACCGACGAAGCGCAAGUGACGGUAGGUGCAGAAGAAGGACCGGCCAACUACGUGCCAGCCGCCGCCGUAA
rnacentral:rRNA from 1 species